CCUACGGGCGGCUGCAGUCGAGAAUCAUUCACAAUGGGGGAAACCCUGAUGGUGCGACGCCGCGUGGGGGAAUGAAGGUCUUCGGAUUGUAAACCCCUGUCAUGUGGGAGCAAAUUAAAAAGAUAGUACCACAAGAGGAAGAGACGGCUAACUCUGUGCCAGCAGCCGCGGUAAUACAGAGGUCUCAAGCUUUGUUCGGAAUCACUGGGCGUAAGGCGUGCGUAGGCUGUUUCGUAAGUCGUGUGUGAAAGGCGCGGGCUCAACCCGCGGACGGCACAUGAUACUGCGAGACUAGAGUAAUGGAGUGGGAACCGGAAUUCUCGGUGUAGCAGUGAAAUGCGUAGAUAUCGAGAGGAACACUCGUGGCGAAGGCGGGUUCCUGGACAUUAACUGACGCUGAGGCACGAAGGCCAGGGGAGCGAAAGGGAUUAGAUACCCCAGUAGUC
rnacentral:rRNA from 1 species